rnacentral:rRNA from 1 species
CCCGCUGAACUUAAGCAUAUCAAUAAGCGGAGGAAAAGAAACCAACCGGGAUUGCCUUAGUAACGGCGAGUGAAGCGGCAAAAGCUCAAAUUUGAAAUCUGGCGCCUUUGGUGUCCGAGUUGUAAUUUGAAGAAAGUAACUUUGGAGACAAGCCUUGCACAAGUCCCUUGGAACAGGGCGUCAUAGAGGGUGAGAAUCCCGUAUAUGGUGAGGUAUUUGUCUCUAUGUAAAGUACUUUCGAAGAGUCGAGUUGUUUGGGAAUGCAGCUCUAAGUGGGUGGUAAAUUCCAUCUAAAGCUAAAUAUUGGCGAGAGACCGAUAGCGAACAAGUACAGUGAUGGAAAGAUGAAAAGAACUUUGAAAAGAGAGUGAAAAAGUACGUGAAAUUGUUGAAAGGGAAGGGCUUGAAAUCAGACUUGGUAUUUUGUGAUCAGCAAUCUUUCGGGGUUGUGCACUCGCAAUUUACUGGGCCAGCAUCGAUUUUGACGGCGGGAUAAUGACAUUGGAAUGUGGCUCUUUCGGGAGUGUUUAUAGCCUUUGUUGAUACCGGCAGUUGGGAUCGAGGACCGCGCUUUUUGCUAGGAUGCUGGCGUAAUGAUUUUAAGCCACCCGUCUUGAAACACGG